GAUGAACGCUGGCGGCGUGCCUAAUACAUGCAAGUCGAGCGAACGGACGAGAAUCUUGCUUCUCUGAUGUUAGCGGCGGACGGGUGAGUAACACGUGGAUAACCUACCUAUAAGACUGGGAUAACUUCGGGAAACCGGAGCUAAUACCGGAUAAUAUUUUGAACCGCAUGGUUCAAAAGUGAAAGACGGUCUUGCUGUCACUUAUAGAUGGAUCCGCGCUGCAUUAGCUAGUUGGUAAGGUAACGGCUUACCAAGGCAACGAUGCAUAGCCGACCUGAGAGGGUGAUCGGCCACACUGGAACUGAGACAUGGUCCAGACUCCUACGGGAGGCAGCAGUAGGGAAUCUUCCGCAAUGGGCGAAAGCCUGACGGAGCAACGCCGCGUGAGUGAUGAAGGUCUUCGGAUCGUAAAACUCUGUUAUUAGGGAAGAACAUAUGUGUAAGUAACUGUGCACAUCUUGACGGUACCUAAUCAGAAAGCCACGGCUAACUACGUG
rnacentral:rRNA from 1 species